rnacentral:lncRNA from 1 species
AAUCCGAACCCGACCUGAACCUAUAGGUAUAGGUAAUAUCCGAACCCAUACCCAAAUAUAUAUGUUUAUAAUUCUAUUUUAGUAAUUCUAUUUUAGUAAAUCUGUUUUGAUUGAGAAUAUGCAUAAAAUUAUUUUGGUUAUUUAUAUAUUCUAUGUUGAAUUGUAAUUCUAUUUCUAUAUUUGAUUUCUAUAAAUCUGGACUUAUAAAUUAUGUUCUAUGUUGAAUUGAUAAUUUUAUUUUGAUUGAUAAUAUGCAUAAAAUUAUUUUGGUU